UUCAAUUAAAUCAUGAUUUAUUUUAUUUCCUUUUAAACUUAUACCGCUUUUCCACCAGACAUUGAAAUGCCAAAAAAUAUAUGCCAUUUAAAAAAUGCCAUGUGGAAACAAACAUAUUGCUGUUCCACUAAUUCUGAAAAACUCCAUUCUAGACCAUACCAAUUGUAACUUUUGUAUUGGCUGGCGUUACUUGCGGAUUCCUGUGGACACUUCGCCUCGCACUCACGCGCCACGACGUAUGCUACUUUGGCAAAAUGCCGUAUGAAGAUUAUACACCCAUAAGGAAAAAUCAGUUGCCACCGAUAAUGAAGUUUCGUACGUACAAUCAAAAGUAUCGUUGGCCACCGGGUUUGGUUGCUGCGGUGA